GAUGAACGCUGGCGGCGUGCCUAAUACAUGCAAGUCGAGCGAACAGACGAGGAGCUUGCUCCUCUGACGUUAGCGGCGGACGGGUGAGUAACACGUGGAUAACCUACCUAUAAGACUGGGAUAACUUCGGGAAACCGGAGCUAAUACCGGAUAAUAUAUUGAACCGCAUGGUUCAAUAGUGAAAGACGGUUUUGCUGUCACUUAUAGAUGGAUCCGCGCCGCAUUAGCUAGUUGGUAAGGUAACGGCUUACCAAGGCAACGAUGCGUAGCCGACCUGAGAGGGUGAUCGGCAACACUGGAACUGAGACACGGUCCAGACUCCUACGGGAGGCAGCAGUAGGGAAUCUUACGCAAUGGGCGAAAGCUUGACGGAGCAACGCCGCGUGAGUGAUGAAGGUCUUCGGAUCGUAAAACUCUGUUAUUAGGGAAGAACAAAUGUGUAAGUAACUAUGCACGUCUUGACGGUACCUAAUCAGAAAGCCACGGCUAACUACGUG
rnacentral:rRNA from 1 species